rnacentral:rRNA from 1 species
UACGGGGGGGGCAAGCGUUGUUCGGAAUUACUGGGCGUAAAGGGCUCGUAGGCGGCCAACUAAGUCGGACGUGAAAUCCCCAGGCUCAACCUGGGAACUGCGUCCGAUACUGGAUGGCUUGAAUUCGGGAGAGGGAUGCAGAACUCCAGGUGUAGCGGUGAAAUGCGUAGAUAUCUGGAGGAAUACCGGUGGCGAAGGCGGCAUCCUGGACCGACAUUGACGCUGAUGAGCGAAAGCCAGGGGAGCAAACGGG